GCAAUUCUUUGUGCUACCACCAACAUUAUAUCAAGUUUCUCUGCAAAAGUCUUUCUAUACAGUAUUUUCUUUUAUAUUUUACGUAAAAAUAACUUGUUUUUUUAUCACUCUAACUAUUUCGUCACCCAAAAGUAUCAUUAUCCGUUGCUCCAAAACUUGCCCUUUAUAAAGCAACCAAAGGAUCUUUGGCUUUUGGAGAGAUCUUUGCAAUCAAUUUGGCUCUUGGAAUCCAAAAGUGAAGCAAAACAAAUUGGCUUUUGGGAUUUUAUAAGAAGAUUAGGCUCCUGGGCUAUACACCAUAGAAGCUUGGUUAGUGGAGAUAGAGAGAUGGCUAGGGAACGAUGGAAUACUACCAAUGGGAUCCAUGGGCUUGAUUCAAUACUUGGUUUUUGGGCAGGUGUAAUGAUGUUUGCAUUAGUCCUUUUUGCAGUCAUAAUCUUUUCAUGUGCUGAAGGAGCGGAAUCAAAAGACAAAAAUGAUGGCGGAGGAGACACCACGGCCUAUGGUGGCAGUGAGUGUGUUGCAGGGUGUGGUGCAGGAUGCGGUGGCUAGCUGGAAGUCCAUUUGAUCAUAAUUGACCAGUGCCAACGACUGAAUGAAAGGCCUUUUAGAAACGUCGACAGUCCAGUUUCAGGCCAACUUCAUCAGUUCGUAUCAGUUUUUUUUCAUGGAUAAUGGAUUUUUUACAAAAAAAAAUAAGAAAAACAAAAAAAUAUGUUAAUAUUGAUUACAAUUACAAAAUACAAAUAUAGUUUGGAAAAUGAAGUAAAUAUAAUUCUUAAAUCUUUGUUUCUUCAAUCAUUAAAAUAUAUACAAUAUUCAAUCUUUAAUCGUCCAUGUUUUAUAUUUAUUUGUCCUUAAUAAUUGUAAGUAAAUUAGAACCAACAUUAUUGAUUUCCUAUUCCUUGGUACUUAUUUGAAUACGAUUUUAAGCAUCUAAGUGUUUUAUCUA